GGAGUUCCGUAGCGGGAGCCCUUCCUGUUUAUGGUUAGACUCAGGCCCUCCUUUGGUGCUAAUGAUGUGCCAGUCAGUACCCACAGAUGCAUGUUCCAGAACCUUCAUCAACUGCUCUGUCUCAGAAAAGGCAGGAUAGAUGGACAGAAUCUUUACAAGAACACCAUCUGACUGUGCGCACAGCUCGGUAGGAUCCUUAAAGAGGUUCUAGGCCCUUGAGAAGAAAGCAGAUUACUGGGAGCAGGUCCCUCCAAAGCUGCCUCUCUGCUGUUUGUCGGCCCUGGGAUGAAGAAGCUCAUCUGCCCCAACUGCCCUCCCUGGUGUUCUUUCCGUUCCAGUGCAUGGGGUCAUGCAGGUGAUGUAUGACUGCUCUGAUGUCUUGGAGAGAAUCCUACCAAGCAGGUAUAGCCUGAAUUCUCCCUUCCCACAAUGCUUCCUCCUAGUUAUUUUUCAUCCACCGGUCCCCACCUUGUUCCUGGGCUUAAAUUCGCUGACGAUCACUGAAUUCCUAUUCCCUCCCAGCUUUAUAGAGACACCUCUUCUCCCCUGCAACACUUCCACCAAAAUUCUGCUUUACCCCUUCAAUAUCUGUCCAUCCCUGGUUCCUUUUUUCUACUUUAUUCUUUAAAUUUAUAAUGUGUGAAGUGUGUGUAUGUAUAGAUGCAUACAUGGGGGCAUGUGUGUAUGCCGGUGACAGAUAUACACAUAUAUGUAAAGGCCUGAGUUGACAUGAGGAUGUCUUCCUCCAUUACUCUCCACUUUAUUUACCGAGGCAGGGUCUCUCACUGAGCUCAGAGCUUCCUGAUUUGACCAGUCUGGCCAGCUUCCUCUGUGUCUAGCUCCCAGUGCUAAGAUUCCAGGUGGCCACCAUACCUGCCUGGGUUCUCCACAAGCACUAGGGAUCUGUGGUGGUUUGGAGGAUUAGAAGCCGUGGGCUCCUUGGCUUGCACAUUAGGCUGUAACUCUCAGCUAUUGCUCCGGCACCCCUGUACGACCAUGCUCCCCACCAUGAUAGUAAUGAACUGACCCUCUGAAACCGUAAACAAGUCCCCACUUAAACACUUUUCUUCUGUAAGAGUUUCCUUGAGGCUGGAAAUGGUUCAGUGGUUGGGAGUACCAACUACUCCUCUAGAGGACCCAGGUUCAAUUCCCAGCACCCACGUGGUAGCUCACAACUGUAACUCCAGUUCCUGGGGACCCAUGACACCAGGCAUGCACAUGUGCACAUAAUCAUGUAUGCAGGCAAAAUAUCCACACCCAUACAUACUCAUACCCAUACAUACUCACACCCAUAAAUACUCACACUCAUACAUACUCACACCCAUGCAUACCCACACAUACUCACACCCACGCAUACUCACACCCAUGUAUACCCAUGCAUACUCACACCCAUGCGUGCUCACACCCAUGUGUGCUCACACCCAUACAUACUCAUACUCAUACAUACUCACACCCAUAAAUACUCACACUCAUACAUACUCACACCCAUGCAUACCCAUGCAUACUCACACCCAUGAAUACUCACACUCAUGCAUACUCACAUUCAUGCAUAACUCACACACACAUACUCACACCGAUACAUACACCCAUGCAUACUCACACCCAUGCGUGCUCACACCUAUACAUGCUCACACCCAUGCAUGCUCACACCCAUGCAUGCUCGCACCCAUGCAUACCCACACCCAUACGUCCUCACACCCAUACGUGCUCACACCCAUGCAUAUUCACACCCAUGCAUACUCACACCCACACAUACUCACACCCAUGCAUGCUCACACCCAUGCAUGCUCACACCCAUACAUGCUCACACCCAUGCAUAUUCACACCCAUACAUACUCACAUCCAUGCAUACUCACACCCAUGCAUACUCACACCCAUAAAUGAAAUAAAUAAACCCAAGGGGGGUGUCUCUUCAGAGCAACGGAACAAUAGUUAAGGAUCUGAACUCCAGUCUUCGUAGUUGUAGAGCAAAGUAUGCACACUUAAACACUCCAGUUCUGAUUUCUUUAGCAAUCCCCAGCCCACUUCUCUCCCACUCUUCAGUCUUGGCUCCUAGUUUUACUAACUGUUCAUACAAAGCCCUCUCAGAAAAAGAAAAUCUAUCAGCAGUAAAAAUAAAUGAAUGGCGGCCUGUGUUGUGGCCUUAGGAAUAUUAUAGGAGUCUUUGCCUUAUUUGGAUCAUUUAAUUCUUCGUCUUCACUUGUUUAUUCUUCUUAUGGUUACCCAGGCUGGCCUUGAAUUCACAAUCUUCCCACCCCCAAAGCCCCUUUCCAAAUAACUAGUUUUAAAGGCAAGUACAUGGCUAACUUUUCUACUGGUGUCCAUCUAAGAGGCCUUGUUUGAUUUCCUUGGUCCACUUUGAUGGCCUCUGACUUCAAUUUUGUCCUGAUUCUAGUCUCUGAAGAAGCAACACUGUCUACUUGGGUUGUCCCCUUCAGGCCAUUGGAGUCUAAAGAGUCCGUUAUCACAGGCCCACAUGCCAGGAUCUCAGAACUCACCUUAAUCUAGGUCCCCAUGCCAUUUCUUGCAGCCACCCAUCUACACACCUGAUCCGACUAACUCCAGGCUUUCCCUCACAGCCUCUGCUAGCAGUUUGUAACCCGAAUCCUCAUUGUGUCAAUGAACUCCAGGCCUUCAUACUUGCCCUUCGAUAGUUACCUCCCUGACCAAUCCUAAGACACCAUCUGAACCCUGACUUCAGUGCUUCAUCCCUUAGCCUCCACAGCCAUUGCCUACCCACACCGCAAGAUAAAGCCCACACGCUAUUGUGGAUCUCAACGUAUCUGACAGUCUUCUGAAUUCAUUUUUCCUCCUCUAAAAAUUGCAUUUUUCCCCACCAUAAACAAUCAAGAUGUAGAUUCCCUAUUGAGUCCUACGGAAGUCUGGAUAGAUCUAGAUUGUCUAGACAUAGACGUUCUAGAUAAAACAAGAGGCUGUUCUGUGUUCUUUAAGACCCAUACAAAUGUUGGAUGUUGUUUUUAGUUCUGUAAGCCACCAACCUUUCUUUCUUGCAGGGCCUUCCUACCGGAAGUGGCCCAACUGAACUCCCCUAUGGGCGUGGUCUGCCUCCAAGGAGUCAAGCACUCGCCUGGUUCGGAUUCCUGAACAACAAAAGCCAAAGACAGAUUCUUGAUGCCGGAGCCAACACUUCACAAAUUCCAGGCCCAGAUCUUGGCAUAGCGCUGUUCCCGGUUAAACCCAGCACUGAAUCUUCCAAGCCGAAGGACCCAUCAUCCAGAAUGCUUGGGACCAGAAGCACUUCUGCUUUGGACUGGUUUUCUUCAGAGUUUGGAAUAUUUGCACAGAAAUAAUGAGCUAUCUUGGGGAUGAAGCUUAAGUCUAAAUAAGAAAUUAAAUACAAAAUUACUCUAUACUUCA